UACGAAGGGAGCUAGCGUUGUUCGGAAUCACUGGGCGUAAAGCGCACGUAGGCGGCUGUGUCAGUCAGGGGUGAAAUCCCGGAGCUCAACUUCGGAACUGCCCUUGAUACAGCACGUCUUGAGUCCGGAAGAGGUGGGUGGAAUUCCUAGUGUAGAGGUGAAAUUCGUAGAUAUUAGGAAGAACACCGGUGGCGAAGGCGGCCCAUUGGUCCGGUACUGACGCUGAGGUGCGAAAGCGUGGGGAGCAAACAGG
rnacentral:rRNA from 1 species